rnacentral:rRNA from 1 species
CGCUGGCGGCAGGCUUAACACAUGCAAGUCGAACGCCCCGCAAGGGGAGUGGCAGACGGGUGAGUAACGCGUGGGAAUCUACCCAGAUCUUCGGAACAACUGAGGGAAACUUCAGCUAAUACCGGAUACGCCCUACGGGGGAAAGAUUUAUCGGUUCUGGAUGAGCCCGCGUUGGAUUAGCUAGUUGGUGGGGUAAUGGCCUACCAAGGCGACGAUCCAUAGCUGGUCUGAGAGGAUGAUCAGCUACACUGGGACUGAGACACGGCCCAGACUCCUACGGGAGGCAGCAGUGGGGAAUUUUGGACAAUGGGGGCA